rnacentral:rRNA from 1 species
AGGUGCCUACGGGACGCAGCAGUAGGGAAUCUUCCACAAUGGACGAAAGUCUGAUGGAGUAACGCCGCGUGAGUGAAGAAGGGUUUCGGCUCGUAAAGCUCUGUUGGUAGUGAAGAAAGAUAGAGGUAGUAACUGGCCUUUAUUUGACGGUAAUUACUUAGAAAGUCACGGCUAACUACGUGCCAGCAGCCGCGGUAAUACGUAGGUGGCAAGCGUUGUCCGGAUUUAUUGGGCGUAAAGCGCGUGCAGGCGGUUCCAUAAGACUGAUGUGUAAGACGUCG